AUUGAACGCUGGCGGCAUGCCUUACACAUGCAAGUCGAACGGUAACAGGUCUUCGGAUGCUGACGAGUGGCGAACGGGUGAGUAAUACAUCGGAACGUGCCUAGUAGUGGGGGAUAACUACUCGAAAGAGUGGCUAAUACCGCAUGAGAUCUAAGGAAGAAAGCAGGGGAUCGCAAGACCUUGUGCUACUAGAGCGGCCGAUGGCGGAUUAGGUAGUUAGUGGGAUAAAAGUUUACCAAGCCGCCGACCUGUAGCUGGUCUGAGAGGACGAUCAGCCACACUGGGACUGAGACACGGCCCAGACUCCUACGGGAGGCAGCAGUGGGGAAUUUUGGACAAUGGGCGAAAGCCUGAUCCAGCAAUGCCGCGUGCAGGAUGAAGGCCUUCGGGUUGUAAACUGCUUUUGUACGGAACGAAAAGCCCCGGGUUAAUACCCUGGGGUCAUGACGGUACCGUAAGAAUAAGCACCGGCUAACUACGUGCCAGCAGCCGCCGUAA
rnacentral:rRNA from 1 species